UGUAUUUUAAAAUACAAAAAUUUUAAUACCAGUUAUUGAUCCACUUUUGCACUUUACUAGCAAAACAUCUCUGUAUUAUGACCUGGAUUUCUAAGUUCCUUCGUUCAGUGAUAUAAAGGUAAAUCAAAUUCCGCAGAUUGAAAAUAUAUACUUUGAAGUUCCUUCAAUUCUUUCAAUUUAAAGCAUUAAGGAUCGCCCAUUGUGUUGUGACUAUAUCUACUAAGAUUUUAUUUUUGUUGCUAA